rnacentral:rRNA from 1 species
AUUGAACGAGGGAGGAAGGAGGAACAAAGGCAAGUCGAGCGGAUGAAGGGAGCUUGCUCCUGGAUUCAGCGGCGGACGGGUGAGUAAUGCCUAGGAAUCUGCCUGGUAGUGGGGGAUAACGUCCGGAAACGGGCGCUAAUACCGCAUACGUCCUGAGGGAGAAAGUGGGGGAUCUUCGGACCUCACGCUAUCAGAUGAGCCUAGGUCGGAUUAGCUAGUUGGUGGGGUAAAGGCCUACCAAGGCGACGAUCCGUAACUGGGCUGAGAGGAUGAUCAGUCACCACGGAACCGGGACACCGUCCCAAACCCCUAGGGGGGGCACCGUAGGGAAUAUUUGGCCAUGGGCCAAAGCCUUAUCCCGGCCAGCCGGGGGAGUUAAGAAGGUCCUCCGAUUGGAAAACCCCGUGAGUUGGGGAGAAAGGCAGUUAAUUUAAACCUUGCCGUUUUGACGGUACCAACAGAAUAAGCAACGGCUACCUUCGUG